UACAGAGGUCCCAAGCGUUGUUCGGAUUCACUGGGCGUAAAGGGUGCGUAGGUGGUUAGGUAAGUCCGAUGUGAAAUCUCCAGGCUCAACCUGGAAAUGGCAUUGGAUACUAUCUAGCUCGAGGAGUGGAGGGGAGACUGGAAUACUUGGUGUAGCAGUGAAAUGCGUAGAUAUCAAGUGGAACACCAGUGGCGAAGGCGAGUCUCUGGACAUUUCCUGACGCUGAGGCACGAAAGCCAGGGGAGCAAACGGG
rnacentral:rRNA from 1 species